rnacentral:rRNA from 1 species
UACAGAGGGGGCAAGCGUUGUUCGGAAUUACUGGGCGUAAAGGGCGCGUAGGCGGCCUGUUAAGUCGAACGUGAAAUCCCUGGGCUCAACCCAGGAACUGCGUCCGAGACUGGCAGGCUUGAAUCCGGGAGAGGGAUGUGGAAUUCCAGGUGUAGCGGUGAAAUGCGUAGAUAUCUGGAGGAACACCGGUGGCGAAGGCGGCAUCCUGGACCGGUAUUGACGCUAAGGCGCGAAAGCCAGGGGAGCAAACGGG